UACGGAGGAUGCAAGCGUUAUCCGGAAUGAUUGGGCGUAAAGGGUCCGCAGGUGGCAGUGUAAGUCUGCUGUCAAAGAAUGAGGCUUAACCUCAUCAAGGCAGUGGAAACUACACAGCUAGAGUACGGUCGGGGUAGAAGGAAUUCCUGGUGUAGCGGUGAAAUGCGUAGAGAUCAGGAAGAACACCGGUGGCGAAAGCGUUCUGCUAGACCUGUACUGACACUGGAGGGACGAAAGCUAGGGGAGCGAAUGGG
rnacentral:rRNA from 1 species